rnacentral:tRNA from 1 species
GCCCUCGUAGCCUAAGUGGUAAAGGCAGCACUCUUAUAAGGUGACGACAGGUGGGUUCAAGUCCCCCCGAGGGUA